UUCAAGUAAUCCAGGAUAGGCUUU
rnacentral:ncRNA from 6 species